rnacentral:rRNA from 1 species
AAUCAACGCUGGCGGCGUGCCUAACACAUGCAAGUCGAACGCGAAAGUCCCGCAAGGGAUAAGUAGAGUGGCAAACGGGUGAGUAACACGUGGGUGACCUGCCUUCGAGUGGGGGAUAACGUCCCGAAAGGGACGCUAAUACCGCAUAACAUCCUGCCUUUGAAGAGGUGGAGAUCAAAGCUGGGGAUCGCAAGACCUAGCGCUGGAAGAGGGGCCCGCGUCUGAUUAGCUAGUUGGUGGGGUAAUGGCUCACCAAGGCAACGAUCAGUAUCCGGCCUGAGAGGGCGGACGGACACACUGGGACUGAGACACGGCCCAGACUCCUACGGGAGGCAGCAGUGGGGAAUUGUUCGCAAUGGGCGCAAGCCUGACGACGCAACGCCGCGUGGAGGAUGAAGACCUUCGGGUCGUAAACUCCUUUCGAUCGAGACGAACGGCUCCCGGACGAAUAAUCCGGGAGAGUGACGGUACCGAGAGAAGAAGCCCCGGCUAACUCCGUGC